rnacentral:misc_RNA from 1 species
AAGUCGUAACAAGGUUUCCGUAGGUGAACCUGCGGAAGGAUCAUUAACACGUGAUUUCUCUCACGUAUUCACCAAGCAACGUAACUCCUUCUGUUGAUGCGGGUCACACAUGGACGAAGUGGUAGCGACGAGAAAUCGUCUUGCCCGUGUGUUAGGUGCCCAGCGCAAGCUGAGGUGUCGCCCAAUGCUUCAGAAGCGUAAUGAUUUCCUGGUCGUCACGCCUGCUCUGCCCUGGUAGUCACAGGAAACGCUUUUUUAUUUUAACCAUUUUUUUUCUUACUAAUUCUUUGUACAGUCUUUUGAAUUCCUGGUGAAUUUCGAUCCGCCGGUUGAGUUUGACUGAUUGUCACUUAUUAAUUCGAAACAACUCUUAGCAACGGAUAUCUUGGUUCUC